GUGAAGUGAUGAUUCAGUUUAUCCAUUCGCUGAGAGCGCCGCACCGACCUCCUCUAAGCCCCUGUUCCUGUUCUAGGGACUUGGGCCAUGUGGCCCCCAGUGCUGCGCAGCCUGCAGCGUUCUGCUGUGGGUGCCCAGUGCUGGGCCUGCAGGAGGACGGUCGGAGGUGGCAGGGUGGGGCUCCCGUCCCACCCACCAAGAUGAGUGGUGGAAUCUGAUCAC
rnacentral:snoRNA from 1 species